rnacentral:rRNA from 1 species
AUUGAACGCUGGCGGCAUGCUUUACACAUGCAAGUCGAACGGCAGCAUAGGUGCUUGCACCUGAUGGCGAGUGGCGAACGGGUGAGUAAUAUAUCGGAACAUGUCCGGAAGUGGGGGAUAACGUAGCGAAAGUUACGCUAAUACCGCAUAUGCCCUGAGGGGGAAAGGGGGGGAUCGCAAGACCUCUCGCUUUCGGAGUGGCCGAUAUCGGAUUAGCUAGUAGGUGAGGUAAAGGCUCACCUAGGCGACGAUCCGUAGCUGGUCUGAGAGGACGACCAGCCACACUGGGACUGAGACACGGCCCAGACUCCUACGGGAGGCAGCAGUGGGGAAUUUUGGACAAUGGGCGAAAGCCUGAUCCAGCAAUGCCGCGUGUGUGAAGAAGGCCUUCGGGUUGUAAAGCACUUUUGUCCGGAAAAAAAUGGCUCUGGUUAAUACCUGGGGUCGAUGACGGUACCGGAAGAAUAAGGACCGGCUAACUACGUGCCAGCCGCCGCAGUAA